CCCAGAGACCCCGGCCCCGGGGAGAGCCAGCAUUGCCUAGGGGCAGCCUGGGGAAGGGCGGGCUAAGAACGCGGGGCGCGAGCCUGAAACGCCUGCCUGCUCCCCAGACAGACAUUAUUUUUUCCAUAAAAGUGAUCCAAACUACCUAUAGGGAUCAGCCAAUACAUUUUGCCAUAAGAACUAGGAUAAGAAGACUUACGCAAUAUCUCGUGGGGACCAUUUACCUGCUUCUGCUACUACAAACGAUUGGACAUCCAUUGACCCUGACUCUUCGUUCAUGUGUGGAAACCUGGCCUGAAAUUAGUUCUUUGGACUGUCUUUGUACUUUUCCAACUUGCCGAGUUUCUGAAAGAAGGACUCCCAGAUGCCAAGAACUCCCAGAAGAAGAGGACUUUCCUAGAUCUGUUACUGGGACUAACUAAUUCUUGGCUUCAGGAGGAAGUUUCAACUAAUUCUCCAGAUAAAGUCAAAACAGGACUGUCCCUUGAAGACUGAAGGUGUAAACAAGCUUCUGGCUUCCCUAGUUCAAGCAGAGAAAAACUUUAGUCGAAUGUUGGGUUCCCUCUUUGUUAUUCAAACAUACACCCACACACACAUCCUCUUCACCCUCCCUAUUGAAAAACCUCAACAGAUGGAGAGCCUAGGCUCCCAAGCCUGCUGGCUGAGAAGAUGCGCUUCAUUCAAGGGUCAGUCAGCUGGUACAGAUUGGGGGAGGGAGAAGGGCCGAGUAGUCAGUAUAGGGAAUCGCUAUCCUUUAAUACUUCUUACUAUAGAAAUUCAAAGAAUGUGAAGGUUAGCAGCCUCUGGGGCCUGGAAAACCAAUUUAGCUGAUGUGUCUGUGGUGGGGACUGAGCUUGGGGCUGCAGCACGGGGAAAGGACUUGUGCUAUAUUCUCUCCCUUGCUCUCUCAUUGCAAAGCUGUACAAAGAAAUGAUACAAGUGAAUGAUUAAGUUAAUGAUUGCAUGUGAGGUGGAUUUUUUUUCUGUCAGGUCCCUGGAUCAGGCUGAAAGCUACCAGUAGGAGGCAGAAUAUGUACUUAAUCGCCCAUUCUGACCGCCUUUCCAGGGGCCAGGACUACUCUUCAGGCGUUUUCCUCUGCAACUUCCCCACCCCCUGGCUAGCUCAAUUGGGUCUCCUCCCGUCACUCCAGGCUGGGUCCUGAGUUUCUCCUGGUCGCCAGGGAAAAGUCUCCAUCAGCCUAAUCUCUUUCCCACCCCCACCUCCCAUUUUGCAGUGGGCCAUUCCAUCUGCCUCACCUCCACCCUACCUUAAUUCACAUCUGAUUGUCUGGACAAAACAACUGCCACCACGACCGCCGUCCAUGAGCCCGGGCUUGCAGCCCUGACCCCUUUCUUCAGGCCUCAGGAGGAUCCCCCACAACCUCCCUGAUCUCUACCUCCCCCAAAGCGGUCUUUACAAGAAAAAAACAGAGCUGGCCAAGACCUGAGCCAUUUGCUCCCCGUAGGCAAACGAGAUGAACCUCCCAGAGACCAAUGCUCAGAGCGACACCCGGCCCGUCCCCACCUCCAGUUGUCCGCCCAGCGUCGCCUCUGUGCGGCCUUCCCCGCCGCGGAACCUGUGGGGAAGCUGCGCACACAAUGGCGCAGCCGCUCUGGUAAGACCCGGCUGCUCAGGGCGCCCUCAACCCAGCGCCAGGCGGCGAGGGCCAGCAGCCUCGAGGCCUUGGUGCGUUCCCCAUUGCCCUUGCACAUCCAUAAUGGGCUCGCGUGGAGGUUUCCCUGCCAACUUGCCCCUUGCCGCUGUAGGUCCUCGGGAGAGGAGAGGC